rnacentral:lncRNA from 1 species
GAGAAUAUUUCUUCAUUUUCAAAAUGCAGUUCUUCAUGAUCAUCCAUAUCUGUUAGACCCAUUAUUCUUUUGUCAUCAAAUGACACAUGUAUGGAUUCCAUGAUCACCUUGGUUCUUAGAUUAUAGACUCUGAAGGCCUUUGUUAUGAUAGGAUAACCUACAAAAAUGCCUUCAUCAGCUUUUAAAUCAAACUUGGUAAGCUGUUCUGGAUGAGUCUUCAAUACAAAGCAUUUGCACCCA